GACAGAGGGUGCAAACGUUGCUCGGAAUCACUGGGCGUAAAGGGCGUGUAGGCGGGAUGGAAAGUCAGAUGUGAAAUCCCUGGGCUCAACCCAGGAACUGCAUUUGAAACUCCCUUUCUUGAGUACCGGAGAGGAAGGUGGAAUUCCUGGUGUAGAGGUGAAAUUCGUAGAUAUCAGGAGGAACACCGGUGGCGAAGGCGGCCUUCUGGACGGUAACUGACGCUGAGACGCGAAAGCGUGGGGAGCAAACAGG
rnacentral:rRNA from 1 species